rnacentral:rRNA from 1 species
GACGAACGCUGGCGGCGUGCCUAAUACAUGCAAGUCGAGCGAACAGACGAGGAGCUUGCUCCUCUGACGUUAGCGGCGGACGGGUGAGUAACACGUGGAUAACCUACCUAUAAGACUGGGAUAACUUCGGGAAACCGGAGCUAAUACCGGAUAAUAUAUUGAACCGCAUGGUUCAAUAGUGAAAGACGGUUUUGCUGUCACUUAUAGAUGGAUCCGCGCCGCAUUAGCUAGUUGGUAAGGUAACGGCUUACCAAGGCAACGAUGCGUAGCCGACCUGAGAGGGUGAUCGGCCACACUGGAACUGAGACACGGUCCAGACUCCUACGGGAGGCAGCAGUAGGGUAUCUUCCGCAAUGGGCGAAAGCCUGACGGAGCAACGCCGCGUGAGUGAUGAAGGUCUUCGGAUCGUAAAACUCUGUUAUUAGGGAAGAACAAAUGUGUAAGUAACUAUGCACGUCUUGACGGUACCUAAUCAGAAAGCCACGGCUAACUACGUG